rnacentral:rRNA from 1 species
GACGAACGCUGGCGGCGUGCUUAACACAUGCAAGUCGAACGGAAAGGCCCUGCUUUUGUGGGGUGCUCGAGUGGCGAACGGGUGCGUAACACGUGAGUAACCUGCCCUUGACUUUGGGAUAACUUCAGGAAACUGGGGCUAAUACCGGAUAGGAGCUCCUGCUGCAUGGUGGGGGUUGGAAAGUUUCGGCGGUUGGGGAUGGACUCGCGGCUUAUCGGCUUGUUGGUGGGGUAGUGGCUUACCAAGGCUUUGACGGGUAGCCGGCCUGAGAGGGUGACCGGCCACAUGGGGACUGAGAGACGGCCCAGACUCCUACGGGAGGCAGCAGUGGGGAAUAUUGCACAGUGGGCGGAAGCCUGAUGCAGCAACGCCGCGUGCGGGAUGACGGCCUUCGGGUUGUAAACCGCUUUCGCCUGUGACGAAGCGUGAGUGACGGUAAUGGGUAAAGAAGCACCGGCUAACUACGUG